GGCAUCCUCAAUGCAGCGAGCAUCAAUGCCUUCAUCAUCAGCUGCGAGAACCGUGCAAGGACAGGCAUCAGCAUACCAAAGAGGAGGACAUUCAUGAUGGAUAUUGGGAGGGCACUCAUCAUUCCCUGGGCUCAGUCACGCCUGUCAUCAAAAGUCCUGUCCCGCCAACUGCACACAUUAAUAACAACUGUGUGUGACCUUCCGUCACUGGGCAGCACUGCCGGGUCACCAGGGACAUCACUUUCGGAGGGAAAGUCACCCCUGGUGCGCUGUGCUGACUGCCCUAGCAAGUCGGAUAGGAAGACCCGGCACCGAUGCAACAGGUGUGCAAAACCAAUGUGCCCUCGGCACCUGUACCCCACCUGUGGUGACUGCAUGUAAAACCUCCCAGUGGCAGUAGAGGGGUGUACCUGACUGAGGCUAAGGUUUAAUGACCUAAGAAGCAGUGCACACAAGAAGAAGUCUCUGUUUUCAAUACUUUUUUUUUGACAAUUUUUUUUUCAAAAUUCACAGUAAAAUUUACUCUUUUAGUUUACUUAACAAUAAAAUCACUUAUAAUAUUAAAAUAUGAUACAAAAUAAAUUUAUCAAACACCAUUCAAAAGCUAAAGAGCUAUUUUUCUUCUGUAUACUUUGUAAUAAAAAUUAAUUGAAAAACAA